UACGUAGGCGGAAUAAUAAGUCAGUGGUGAAAUCCCAGAGCUCAACUCUGGAACUGCCAUUGAUACUGUUAUUCUUGAAUAUAGUUGAGGUAGGCGGAAUGUGUAAUGUAGCGGUGAAAUGCUUAGAUAUUACACAGAACACCGAUUGCGAAGGCAGCUUACUAAACUAUUAUUGACGCUGAUGUACGAAAGCGUGGGGAGCGAACAGGAUUAGAUACCCUGGUAGUCC
rnacentral:rRNA from 1 species